AGCUCAGUCCUCUGGGAUUUCGGUAUAGCGAAACUGGUCAGGUCCGGAAGGAAGCAGCCAUAAACUAUAUUGGAAAUGCUCAGUGCUUGCUGCUAUGCA
rnacentral:SRP_RNA from 1 species